rnacentral:lncRNA from 1 species
GUAGAGGAUGGUAGAGGAGUUGAUGUUAGGAGAGGUAUGUUAGAGUAAGAGUUACAUUUGUAUAAGUUUAACUAGAUAGCAGCUAAGAAUCUCCUCAAUUUUCAAUUCCUAGUAUUCUGUGAUUUUUAGUGUAGUCCCGUCAUGGGUGCCUAUAUGAAUGGAGAUAUGGAAAGUUAGCCUAGGUGGAAUAGAGAGCCUCUUUCACCUGACUCAGUAUUGGAUAUGUGGAAAUGGAAUCAAAAAAGGAGCACAGACUUAACCUGAAUAGUUCCAAAAAGAGCACACAGAUCAAAAGAAAGAAACCAAUUCAGAUCUUCACGGAAAGAAGCUUGCUAACUCCUAAAAUACAGAGAAUGAAAUGUUUGCAGAAAGAUUCCUGAAGAACCUACACUACAUCAAAAAGAUCCAGAAUGAACUUUGGGUGUGGUUGAUUGAAUUGAAGGUUGAUUGAACAUUUAAUUUGAAUGUAUGCUCUGAUGCCAAAAGGGGACUGACUUCCCCCUAAUUGGUUUUUGUCAAUGUGCCCAGCAAAACAUUGG